CCACAGACUUUCUCGUUCAUACGAUCCCAAGUUUCUUCAUCACACAAGUGUCUUUUAUUUUUCAAAACAACAUCGAGAUCGAUUUGAAUAAGGGCAUCCAUAACUUCGCGCCUCUACAUACUGAAGUUGAUUUUCCCAUCAAACUUUUCAUCAUCGAUCUUUAGGCCUCCUAUAAUAGGUGUUGAAUAGUGAUUUAACAAAUCUCACCUUCCACCUGAAGUGUCUCCUAAAAUAGUUUGGGUAGAUAUCAUCCUAAUUCUGGAAGUUUCACCUUCUACCAUUUUGUCAACAAACUAUUUCCACUUGAAAAACAACCUUUAUGAUGUUAAUUUUACGUGAAUAAAUACACCAGGAAAGUUUCCAAGAGAAUGGAGGGGUCAACCACUUAAAACCCAGACUCUUUAGGCUCUUAUCGCCUUGUUGACAGAACUUUCCUAGACAUGCAAAAAUACACACUAAUUACAAUAGAUUGUCUCCCAAGUACAAAUGGUCGUCUCCAUCGUAUUCGUGGACAGUAUCGUACAUGAACAAUACCAUUUACAGGAAUAGUAUUGUAUACGUGAACAGUUCUGUAUGCCCCUAAGUACGAAUCGUUGGCUCUGAUACCACUUGAUGUGCAUGGGAAUGCAGAAUCAAGUGUACCAAAUAAUUACAGAAAAAUAAAGUACACAAGAAUUACGUGCUUCGGUAAUUAUUCCUACGUCCAUGGAAGUAAGAGAAAAAUAAUUGUAUUACUAACAAUUAUUGGAGUACAAUAUUUGAGUAAUGAAAACCUCACUUCCCAAACCCCAAAUGCACCCAAAGCACUCUCACACACACUCUUCAAUUGCUCACACUCUCAGAAUUCUAGAAUUACUUUACUUGCAAUUUAUUUUAAGCUCUCAAAUUUUGGGAUGAUUUCCAAGUGAAGAAUGCAUCUCUAUUUAUAGCCAAAAUGGUUGCACUGUCGCACCAAACCCUUGGUCAAAUUGUCAAUUAAAUUUGCAACUAAAUUCUUCAAAAUUGACAAACACAUGCAUGCGGUGCCAACUUCCUCCAAAUCAUCAAUUAUGCAUGUGGCUUACCUUUUCUUUUCAACCAAUUUGGAUAAACAAAUCACCAAAUUUGACUUUUCAACAUUACCCAUGACUUAAUUUCAGUUGAUGUGAGAUAAUGCCCUUAACGCCUUUUGAUACCAUAUAAAAAAAUACAUAUUGUGAUACAAUCUAAAUCACAUGUUUAAUCUAUCAAAAAAUAAAAUAAAUUACAUGCAUAAAAAUAUUAAGAAAUUAAUUUGACAAAAUUAAUCUAUGUAGUUUAGGUUCGACCUUCAAGCAUCGUCAAGAGAAAAAGGAAAAUUUAUGCUUCAAAUACAUCCCUUAAAAUAAGGGAAAUUUGUCCAUUUUCCCUAUUAAAAUUAAUAUAUACUAUUUACUCUAUACUAUUUUCAUAAUACCAAAUAACCCUCCUAGAGCUAUAGUUUU
rnacentral:lncRNA from 1 species